rnacentral:lncRNA from 1 species
GGACAUCGCGAGACGAUUGGAACGACGAUAUUAAUCGUGGACGAUGGACGCGACGCGGAUCUUGUUAUAACAUAUUCCUACCACUGCUUUAAUUUCCGGAAUUUGCCUAACGAUCAACCUGACGUCAGUUUGAAGAAUACAAGACCAGUCCAGUGACUAUAAAGCAACUCUGUCAAUCAACGUUGGCCGUAAGUAGCAGCCUGUAGUUUCUGCCUCGCAGUCUCGAUAGUGGUGAGAAAGGGCCACGUCUGGGUCGACCACGAAUUGCUCGAACCCUAAAACGAACGUCGAGUCGGAAUGCGAAGGUACGACAAUGCAAUUCGCCAUCUGUACUUACCGCAGCUUGAACAAGAACGAGAAAUGUUAGAGUAAUGAAAAUCCCAGCGACAAUGAUCGUCUUCACUUGCCGUGGAAGUGACGGCCAUGUCGACAACGUCGGCUUGUGCAGCAACGUGUACUUCACCAUUGCAUUCUUAUACGUCGGACACUGUACAGAAAACUGACUCAAACAUCAUUCACUCACCUGGCCACGAUAACACGCCUGUUAUCAGCAGUGGCGUCGGGUACUCAGCGUGUGAUUAGCGGCAUCAAUUCAACGAUGUCUAAUGUAAUUCUUUCAGUAACAUCAAACAUUCAACGUUUUUUUUGGAUCGGGUUUAAUGGAUCUGGUUUACCGAUAUCAAUAUACGCCUCUGGUUUCCAAAUCCAGGAAGGAUUUACCAAAUGGCACAGGUGUGGUUAAUGUGAAUCCUAUUCGUCUGUUGACGUCUUACAACCUCUUCCGACUUGACUUGACACCUCACUGAAUCUUGGGCAUACCUACAUAAUGUUAAAUAACAUUGUUGCAGUCCUCUUUGUCUGACACUUUGAUUCUAUUUGUCUGUUUGUUAAAUUAGUACACGUACACACGAACACUUGUAUUAUACAUAGUAUAUAUUGUACUACAUCAAAAGGCGUAUAAAAUAAACUAAAACUUUGAA